CAGACCGCCGUGCGGCUGCUGCUGCCUGGCGAGCUGGCCAAGCAUGCCGUCUCUGAGGGCACCAAGGCCGUCACCAAGUACACCAGCUCCAAGUAGAGCGUUCUGGACCAUCAGUUUUAACCCAAAGGCUCUUUUAAGAGCCACCCACUUUUUCAUUAAAAGGGUUGUAUGAUCUCUAUAAGAAGAGCAGAGAAAAAAAUAAAAAAGACAUCCAGAAUGUUUUCACUGUGUGCAUUUACAGUCUAUUUACCGAAGGCUUACAGGAGUUACAGAGUUCUCCUGAAGUCGGGCGCCUGAGCUGUAGCCCUCAGGGGGAUUUUGCUGGCUAUCCCCAGGUUUGCCCGGAAUGGCCUGUGGCAAUUUGGACUGACUGCACAAAGGGGAACACAGAUUAAAGUUACAAGGUCCUUUUCAAGUGGAACAGACAAAAUAGGCCUAGUAUCUUCAAACAGAAG
rnacentral:lncRNA from 1 species